CCCUUGGCAGGCAGUGCGGAGGCCGCACGAUGCCCAGAGUUAUCGUAAAAGACGUGAACCAGCAGGAGCGCAUCAGAGCCCUGGCAACCUUCCUCAAAAAGUCCGGGAAGCUGAAAGUUCCCAAAUGGGUGGACACGGUCAAGCUGGCCAAGCAUAAAGAGCUUGAUCCCUAUGACGAGAACUGGUUCUACACACAAGCUGCCUCCACAGCACGGUACCUUUGGGAUGGUGCAAGGGUUGGCUCCAUUACCAAGAUUUGCAGGGGACGUCAGAGAAAUGGUGUUGUGGCCCACUGGGUCCUUCAAGCCCUGGAGGGGAUGCAAAUGGUGGAAAAGGACCAAGAUGGGGGCCGCAAACUGAUACCUCAGAGACAGAGAGAUCUGGGCAGAAUCGCCGGACAGGUGGCAGCUGCCAACAAGAAAAGCAUUAGAACAAAUGAUGCUGGGUUAA